CAAUUGAGACAGUUCUUCAAGCUUAGAACGGAGAGGAUGGUUGGUAUAUUGAAGGGAGCGAAAUAUGAAUUUAUCAGAUAAAUAUUGUCGCCUAAGAUAUAAUGGGGCAUCAACACAUUCUACUUGUAAAGCAUUAAUUGGACUAGUUUUCAUAGCUCCUGUAAUAAAUCUUAAUGCCUUAGACUGUAUAUUAUCUAAUUUUUUAAAACGGGUUGUAUUUCCAGGAGAUAAUAAAAAGGUACCAUAGUCUAAAAUACUUCGGAUUAAAGCGUUGUACAUAAGUUUCAUACAAAAGGGAUGGGCACCCCACCAUACACCGGAUAAACAUCUAAGGAUGUUUAGGUUUCGCUCACACCUAUUAAAAAUGUAGUCACAAUGAUGUACGCCAGAUAGCUUAGAAUCUAAAAACACACCGAGGAACUUUACAGAGUUUUUAACAGGGAUAAUAAUACUACCAAAAUACACAGUGAUCGGAGGAGGAAGUCGCUUUCUAGAAAAAAGCAUGGCAACACUUUUAGUGGGGGAUAUUUCAAGACCAUUAGUAUCAAGCCAUGUUUUUAAUAAAUUAAGAGAAUGAGACAGUACUGAGCAAGCAAUGGCCGGUGAUUGAUGAAUGGAAUAAAGUAAAAGGUCAUCAGCAUACUGAAGAAUACAAAUCCGAUUUCCAAAAGAAGCUUUCAAAUCAUGGGUAUAAAUAUUAUAUAAAAUGGGACUUAAUACUGAUCCUUGAGGAAGACCUCUCCAUAAGGUUCUAGUUACAGCAGUAGAGUCUUGUGAAAUUAGAGUGAUGUGUCUUUCAUAUAAAUUAUUUAUGAUAAAAUUUGAUAACAUUACAGGUACAUUUAAAUACUGUAGUUUUUUAUGGAGAACUGACAACACUACAUUGUCAUAAGCAGAUUGUACAUCUAAAAAAGUGGCAACAACAGAAUCAUUCCUUGAAAAUGCUAAAUAAAUGUCAGUGGUAAAGAUGGCAAUACUGUCCAUCGUGCUCUUUCCUCGACGAAAACCAAAUUGACUGUCGCAAAGUAAAUUAUUGCUUUCUAAAAACCAUUCAAGACGAGUUUUCACCAAAUGUUCACAGAGUUUUAUCAAGACCGAAGAUAAUGCAAUAGGACGAUAUGAAUUUGCAUUGGAGGGAUUCUUAUUAGGAAAUAUUCAAGACUGUGGUCGCCUAAAUGAGAGAUGAAAGAAUAUGGGAUUCCAUCUUCACCAGGAGCAGAGUCUAUAAGGGAAGAUAGUAUUCCUUUAAAUUCAUACAUAGAAAAUGGACUAUUGAGACCAGAGGGGUUUAAUGGCAUCAGAGGCAUAAUUAUUCUUUCAGGAACUGUAGUAGGAGCAAGUCUGUCGAGGAAUUGAUUAGUUAAUGAAUCGGGGAAAGAACCAGAGGUUUCAGUAAAAGCACACCUGAAUCUUCUAAUAUUACGCCAUACCACUGAAGGACGGACAUUAGGGGAAAUAGAGAGGCAAAAAGUUUUCCAGCUAUCUGCUUUUUUCUUUUUGAAUAAUAAACUAGUGGUCUUGAAAGCAUCUGUAACCAGAUCAAAAUUUUCAGAUGUACAAUUCUCAUAAUAUUGAAGCUCAGCUUG